AUUGAACGCUGGCGGCAGGCCUAACACAUGCAAGUCGAGCGCGCGGCGGACGGGUGAGUUGUGUAUGGGGCUCUGCCCGAUAGAGGGGUAUAACUACUGGAAACUGUGUCUAAUACCGCAACCUCACGUAUGCCCCCAUAUGGGAUUAGCUAGUAGGUGGGGUAAAGGCUCACCUAGGCGACGAUCUCUAGCUGGUCUGAGAGGAUGAUCAGCCACACUGGGACUGAGACACGGCCCAGACUCCUACGGGAGGCAGCAGUGGGGAAUAUUGCACAAUGGGCGCAAGCCUGAUGCAGCCAUGCCGCGUGUAUGAAGAAGGCUUUAGGGUUGUAAAGUACUUUCAGCGGGGAGGCGUUACCCGCAGAAGAAGCACCGGCUAACUCCGUGCCAGCCGCCGCGGUAAUUC
rnacentral:rRNA from 1 species